GACGUAGGGCGCGAGCGUUGUCCGGAUUUAUUGGGCGUAAAGAGCUCGUAGGCGGCUUGUCGCGUCGUCCGUGAAAACCCACAGCUCAACUGUGGGCUUGCGGUCGAUACGGGCAGGCUAGAGUUCGGUAGGGGAGACUGGAAUUCCUGGUGUAGCGGUGAAAUGCGCAGAUAUCAGGAGGAACACCGGUGGGCGAAGGCGGGUCUCUGGGCCGAUACUGACG
rnacentral:rRNA from 1 species